rnacentral:rRNA from 1 species
AUUGAACGCUGGCGGCAGGCUUAACACAUGCAAGUCGAGCGGAGAUGAGGUGCUUGCACCUUAUCUUAGCGGCGGACGGGUGAGUAAUGCUUAGGAAUCUGCCUAUUAGUGGGGGACAACAUUCCGAAAGGAAUGCUAAUACCGCAUACGUCCUACGGGAGAAAGCAGGGGAGCUUCGGACCUUGCGCUAAUGAUUGAGCCUAAGUCGGAUUAGCUAGUUGGUGGGGUAGAGGCCUACCAAGGCGACGAUCUGUAGCGGGUCUGAGAGGAUGAUCCGCCACACUGGGACUGAGACACGGCCCAGACUCCUACGGGAGGCAGCAGUGGGGAAUAUUGGACAAUGGGCGGAAGCCUGAUCCAGCCAUGCCGCGUGUGUGAAGAAGGCCUUUUGGUUGUAAAGCACUUUAAGCGAGGAGGAGGCUACCUAGAUUAAUACUCUGGGAUAGUGGACGUUACUCGCAGAAUAAGCACCGGCUAACUCUGUGCCAGCCGCCGCAGUAAGAC